rnacentral:rRNA from 1 species
CUGAAGAGUUUGAUCCUGGCUCAGAUUGAACGCUGGCGGCAUGCUUUACACAUGCAAGUCGAACGGCAGCACGGGCUUCGGUCUGGUGGCGAGUGGCGAACGGGUGAGUAAUAUAUCGGAACGUACCCAGAAGUGGGGGAUAACGUAGCGAAAGUUACGCUAAUACCGCAUACGAUCUACGGAUGAAAGCAGGGGACCGCAAGGCCUUGCGCGAACGGAGCGGCCGAUGGCAGAUUAGGUAGUUGGUGGGAUAAAAGCUUACCAAGCCGACGAUCUGUAGCUGGUCUGAGAGGACGACCAGCCACACUGGGACUGAGACACGGCCCAGACUCCUACGGGAGGCAGCAGUGGGGAAUCUUAGACAAUGGGCGCAAGCCUGAUCUAGCCAUGCCGCGUGUGUGAUGAAGGUCUUAGGAUCGUAAAGCACUUUCGCCAGGGAUGAUAAUGACAGUACCUGGUAAAGAAACCCCGGCUAACUCCGUGCCAGCAGCCGCGGUAAUACGGAGGGGGUUAGCGUUGUUCGGAAUUACUGG